GUGGAUAUCGUAUAGUGGUUAGUAUAAGUGGUUGUGGCCCACUCGGCCCCAGUUCGAUUCUGGGUAUCCACA
rfam:Fonticula alba strain ATCC 38817 unplaced genomic scaffold supercont2.1, whole genome shotgun sequence.